CCUACGGGAGACAGCAGUGAGGAAUAUUGGUCAAUGGGCGCGAGCCUGAACCAGCCAAGUAGCGUGAAGGAUGACUGUCCUACGGGUUGUAAACUUCUUUUAUCAAGGAAUAAAGUGAGGCACGUGUCCCUUGUUGUCUGUCCUUUUUGAAUAAGGAUCGGCUAACUCCGUGCCAGCAGCCGCGGUCAUACGGAGGAUCCGAGCGUUAUCCGGAUUUAUUGGGUUUAAAGGGAGCGGAGUUGGGUUGUUAAGUCAGUUGUGAAAGUUUGCGGCUCAACCGUAGAAGUGCAGUUGAUACUGGCAGUCUUGAGUACAGGUGAGGUAGGCAGAAUGCGUGGUGUAGCGGUGAAAUGCUUAGAUAUCACGAAGAACUCCGAUUGCGAAGGCAGCUUACUAGACUGCCACUGACAUUGAUGCUCGAAAGUGUGGGUAUCAAACAGGAUUAGAUACCCUAGUAGUC
rnacentral:rRNA from 1 species